GAUGAACGCUGGCUACAGGCUUAACACAUGCAAGUCGAGGGGAAACGACGGGGAAGCUUGCUUCCCCGGGCGUCGACCGGCGCACGGGUGAGUAACGCGUAUCCAACCUGCCUCUGACUGAGGGAUAACCCGUCGAAAGUCGGCCUAAUACCUCAUGGCAUCGUCUGCGGGCAUCCAACGACGAUUAAAGAUUUCAUCGGUCAGGGAUGGGGAUGCGUCUGAUUAGCUUGUUGGCGGGGUAACGGCCCACCAAGGCUACGAUCAGUAGGGGUUCUGAGAGGAAGGUCCCCCACAUUGGAACUGAGACACGGUCCAAACUCCUACGGGAGGCAGCAGUGAGGAAUAUUGGUCAAUGGGCGGGAGCCUGAACCAGCCAAGUAGCGUGCAGGAGGACGGCCCUAUGGGUUGUAAACUGCUUUUAUGCGGGGAUAAAGUGAGGGGCGUGUCCUUCAUUGCAGGUACCGCAUGAAUAAGGACCGGCUAAUUCCGUG
rnacentral:rRNA from 1 species